UACAGAGGGUGCAAGCGUUAAUCGGAAUUACUGGGCGUAAAGCGUGCGUAGUCGGUUAUCUAAGUCGGGUGUGAAAUCCCCGGGCUCAACCUGGGAAUUGCAUUCGAUACUGGAUAGCUAGAGUUCGGCAGAGGGAAGCGGAAUUUCCGGUGUAGCGGUGAAAUGCGUAGAUAUCGGAAGGAACAUCAGUGGCGAAAGCGGCUUCCUGGACCAGAACUGACGAUCAGGCACGAAAGCGUGGGGAGCAAACAGG
rnacentral:rRNA from 1 species